CAGCCGUAAACCAUGCUCGCUAGGUGUCAGGCAUGGCGCGACCGUGUCUGGUGCCGCAGGGAAGCCGUGAAGCGAGCCACCUGGGAAGUACGGCCGCAAGGCUGAAACUUAAAGGAAUUGGCGGGGGAGCACAACAACGGGUGGAGCCUGCGGUUUAAUUGGACUCAACGCCGGACAACUCACCGGGGACGACAGCAAUAUGUAGGCCAGGCUGAAGACCUUGCCUGAAUCGCUGAGAGGAGGUGCAUGGCGUAGACGUCU
rnacentral:rRNA from 1 species